GGUCCUUGAGGAGAGGUCUUCCAUGAUGCAUUCACUGUACUAGUAGCUGAAUCAUACAUGGUAGACCUGUUUUCAAGUAUC
rnacentral:pre_miRNA from 12 species